AAACGAAAAAAAAGCGAGCAUACCGCGAAUAAUCACUUCGUCAUCAUCUUGCAGGAACUUCCGGCUGGUUCCAUCUUUUAACCGUAUGGGUCGAGUGCCUUUCCAACAGAGCUCAAGCAUGGAGCCAAAAGAAUCAGCAGCCUGAAACGUGCAACAAGAUUCGAAGUUACGUUUUUACCAUCUGGAUAUCGACGAUUUAAAUGAAAAGGGGAAUGGAGUUGGAUCUUGAUGCACAUUGGAUACUUUGAAAGGCUCUAAAGCUUCCAUAGUAACUAUCCAUGGAGAAAUGGUGGU